CCGUGCGGGCCUGCCUCGCCGUAGCACCGAAGGUGCGGAGGCGGGAGGAAAGUCCGAACUCCAAAGGGCAGUGCGCCGGGUAACGCCCGGUCGAGGCAACCCGAAGGAAAGUGGCACAGAAAAUAUACCGCCUGGCUGCGCGCGUAAGUGCGGAGCCGGGUAAGGGUGAAAAGGUGCGGUAAGAGCGCACCGCGCCCGUGGCAACACGGGUGGCAGGCAAAACCCCGCACGGAGCAAGGCCAAAUAGGGGAGCGCGGGCUGCUGGCAACAGUGGUCCAUCGGACGGCCCGUCCGAGGCUUCCGGGUAGGCUGCUUGAUCCCGCCAGUAAUGGCGGGGCUAGAGGAAUGAUCGUCACCAGCCACCGCCCGAUCGCCGGGCGGCUGGCGGGAACAGAAUUCGGCUUACGGUCCG
rnacentral:RNase_P_RNA from 1 species